CCUUCCAAGGGUAAAAGCAAUUGCCCUUUUCUCUUUAGUGUUUCGUUUACUACGACGCUACGGCCGUGGUGACGUAGACGACGCUCGCUUCUCGCAUCCGCGUGUUGCAAACGCCGACAGUCAGCGAUGUGCCUGCUCGUCCAUAUGUAAAGGCUAAAUUUAAACCUCGGUGCCCGCACAGCAACAAUCUUGGUAGAUGUGUGUUGUUUGGUUGAAAGCUCUAGCCGACAGACGACGAUCGCUGCAAGACAGCAUUGUUUCACCUGAGCAGGGGAUUUCAUUUCACCCCAGUCUUGUUUCUUUAGAAGCGGUGGAAACUCGAGGACGUAUUUGCCGGAAGGAUCGGCGCGCGCCUAGACCGUCUGAAAUAACCGAGAUGGCUAUCGUUCAACAUUUGUUCGCAAAACUGUGCUGUUUGAUUUCCCUUGUAUUAGCUGCACUUUGGAGCCGAUGAGGCGGUCUCGCAGCACAGUAGCUGCCUACAGUAAAACGCUUUCCUCUUCAUUUUGCUGUAACUGUUGGAAAUCUGCAACAUGGAACAUAGAGUUCAUCAGCUAAACUUCAACGACUGCCGGGCGCAGGCUGGGUCAAAAAUUGCGGCCCGUGCAGUGCUCGAUCAGUGGUCAAGCAAAAUCAGGUCAUGAGAUGUCAUCAGAAGUUGGUUCUGCAUCUCAUCAUGGGUUUAAGUCAAUUUGCUACUUCUGAAAGUAUUGUCCACAAUAAAAGCGA
rnacentral:lncRNA from 1 species